rnacentral:rRNA from 1 species
AGUGAACGCUGGCGGUAGGCCUAACACAUGCAAGUCGAACGGCAGCACAGUAAGAGCUUGCUCUUACGGGUGGCGAGUGGCGGACGGGUGAGGAAUACAUCGGAAUCUACUUUUUCGUGGGGGAUAACGUAGGGAAACUUACGCUAAUACCGCAUACGACCUACGGGUGAAAGCAGGGGAUCUUCGGACCUUGCGCGAUUGAAUGAGCCGGUGUCGGAUUAGCUAGUUGGCGGGGUAAAGGCCCACCAAGGCGACGAUCCGUAGCUGGUCUGAGAGGAUGAUCAGCCACACUGGAACUGAGACACGGUCCAGACUCCUACGGGAGGCAGCAGUGGGGAAUAUUGGACAAUGGGCGCAAGCCUGAUCCAGCCAUACCGCGUGGGUGAAGAAGGCCUUCGGGUUGUAAAGCCCUUUUGUUGGGAAGGAAAAGCAGCAGGUUAAUACCCCGCUGUUCUGACGGUACCCAAAGAAUAAGCACCGGCUAACUUCGUG